UCAUCAAUUCUGAAAUGUACAUAAGUUACAGCAAAUUUAACGUCCUUUCAAGUGAAACAAGGUAGAUUUUUCCGAAAUUCCGAAGUUUAUAAGCAAUUUAGUGGACCUAAGUCGAAAAAAACCAAAACCUGAAAUUAUUUAUUUAUUGUUGAGAGUUGGGCAGAGGUUUAUAGGAGGUUUUUUGUUGCAUAUGCGUUCUUUUCUAUUUCAAGAAGUUGAGUCUGAGUUGAAUCAAAACGCGAGAUUAAGCCGAAUUAGGCAAAACCGUAACCGGCCGGCUCUAGAGAAGUAUUCCCGCCCUGUGGCACUUUUGAAAAAGAAAACCUCCCAUCACUUUUCCUUUUAGAUGGGAAUACAAAGAGAUACAUUACAUGCGCUCUCUGUACGGUCAAAUCUAAAAGGGGGAGAUUUCCAUGUAAUAAGAAAGCCAUAAGAAUUUGGCAAGAGGCAAUAACUUGACAGAUUAAUUACAUUAUUUUUCGUCAAAUUAAUAACA